GGAAUAUUGGACAAUGGGCGCAAGCCUGAUCCAGCCAUGCCGCGUGUGUGAAGAAGGCCUUCUGGGUUGUAAACUGCUUUUACCAGGGAAGAAAACGCCCAUGCGUGGGUAACUGACGGUACCUGGUGAAUAAGCACCGGCUAACUCCGUGCCAGCAGCCGCGGUAAUACGGAGGGUGCAAGCGUUGUCCGGAUUUAUUGGGUUUAAAGGGUGCGUAGGCGGCCCGUUAAGUCAGCGGUGAAAUCCCAGGGCUCAACCCUGGAACUGCCGUUGAUACUGGCGGGCUUGAGUUCGGUCGAGGCGGGCGGAACUGGCGGUGUAGCGGUGAAAUGCUUAGAUACCGCCAAGAACCCCGAUUGCGUAGGCAGCUCGCUUGGCCGAAACUGACGCUGAGGCACGAAAGCGUGGGGAGCGAA
rnacentral:rRNA from 1 species